rnacentral:rRNA from 1 species
GAUGAACGCUAGCGGCAGGCCUAAUACAUGCAAGUCAAGGGGCCCCGAGCAAUCGGGGCACCGGCGGACGGGUGCGUAACGCGUACACAACGUGCCCAAGGGCGGGGGAAAGCGGCGGGAAACUGCCGGUAAUACCCCACUGGUGUUGGAGGGGUGGCAUCACUUUUCAACUAAAGUACAAGCGCCCUUGGAUCGGUGUGCGUCCGAUUAGCUAGUUGGCGGGGUAACGGCCCACCAAGGCUCCGAUCGGAGGGGGUGUGAGAGCAUGGCCCCCCACACGGGUACU